UGUGUAGGCGGACUUUUAAGUCAGCGGUGAAAUCUCCGGGCUCAACCCCGGAAACUGCCAUUGAUACUAUUGGUCUUGAAUGUUGUUGAGGUGGGCGGAACGGGUCAUGUAGCGGUGAAAUGCAUAGAUAUGACCCGGAACACCGAUUGCGAAGGCAGCCCACUAAGCAAUGAUUGACGCUGAGGCACGAAAGCGUGGGGAUCAAACAGGAUUAGAUACCCUGGUAGUCCACGCCCUAAACGAUGAUUACUCGACGUUGGCGAUACACUGAUCAGCGUCCAAGCGAAAGCAUUAAGUAAUCCACCUGGGAAGUACGUUCGCAAGAAUGAA
rnacentral:rRNA from 1 species